GCCGAGGUGGCGGAAUUGGUAGACGCGCUAGCUUCAGGUGCUAGUUUCCUAUGGAAGUGCUGGUUCGACUCCAGUCCUCGGUACCA
rnacentral:tRNA from 5 species